AGCUAAGAUGUUAAACACAGCGUGUGAAGCGGUUACCCAUGAUGCAGUUCUGUAUUCCUGUCUGGAGGCUUGGGAAACUGAUGUGCUGCCUGGUGUAUCAGAGGAUCUCUGUCAUUCUCGGAUCCUGAGUCAGUCGGUCUGGAGACCUGCAGUGUGUGUGUGUGUGUGUGUGAAGCAUCAUCUUAACACCAAUCUGCUGAUCCUAGACCUUUGCUGCUUAGGUCACAUUUAAUUCCAAGUUUUAUUAAUUUCUGUACAGUCUUAAUAUGCAAGGAAUAAACAAUGUAAUAUCUGA